rnacentral:rRNA from 1 species
AUACGUAGGGGGCGAGCGUUGUCCGGAAUUACUGGGCGUAAAGGGUGCGUAGGCGGCCUUUUAAGUCAGAUGUGAAAGGCUGCGGCUUAACCGCAGGACUGCAUUUGAAACUGGAAGGCUUGAGUGUCGGAGAGGGUAGUGGAAUUCCCAGUGUAGCGGUGAAAUGCGUAGAUAUUGGGAGGAACACCAGUGGCGAAGGCGACUACCUGGACGAUAACUGACGCUGAGGCACGAAAGCUAGGGGAGCAAACAGGAUUAGAUACCCUGGUAGUCCUAGCCGUAAACGAUGGGUACUAGGUGUAGGUGGUUUCGAUACCAUCGGUGCCGCAGUUAACGCAAUAAGUACCCCGCCUGGGGAGUACGGUCGCGAGACUGAA